rnacentral:rRNA from 1 species
GGGCCCGCACAAGCGGUGGAGUAUGUGGUUUAAUUCGAUGCAACGCGAAGAACCUUACCAGGGUUUGACAUCCUGCGAAUCUCUUGGAAACAGGAGAGUGCCUUCGGGAACGCAGUGACAGGUGGUGCAUGGCUGUCGUCAGCUCGUGUCGUGAGAUGUUGGGUUAAGUCCCGCAACGAGCGCAACCCACGUCUUUAGUUGCCAGCAUUUAGUUGGGCACUCUAGAGAGACUGCCGGUGAUAAGCGGGAGGAAGGUGUGGAUGACGUCAAGUCCUCAUGGCCCUUACGGGUUGGGCUACACACGUGCUACAAUGGCAGUGACAAUGGGUUAAUCCCAAAAGCUGUCUCAGUUCGGAUUGGGGUCUGCAACUCGACCCCAUGAAGUCGGAAUCGCUAGUAAUCGC